rnacentral:lncRNA from 1 species
ACUGUGCUCUAGUCGGUCCUCGUCGUACUCUAGUCGGUCCCGCGGAGUUGGACAGAGAGCGGGCUUCCUGCUAGACGGUGGGAUACGGUAGAUGUUGAGAGCGGCUGCUCUCUGGACAUCUCUGCUUAAACAUAGACAGGGUUGGAGUGCCGAGCAAUAGAGGUGGCGAGGGGUCGCCCACAGACUGUGCGGCGGUGCUCCAAGUGUGGCCAGGGUGUAGAGGUCGCAAACAGGGAAGGGGAGGUCCCAAGUAGGUGGCCCCAACUACAAGGAGCCAGCCGUUCGGUUUGGCUCAUGCGGGGCAUGUUGGGGCGGCCCAGGAUUACAUCCCGCUUUGUAUGUAGCCCAUCUUCCGUUGCAACUCUCGGGGCUAGUCCAGCCCUGGCUGUCGUGUUGGAAAGAGAAAUGCUAGAAGAUUCUUAAGGCAGAAUAGUUACAUCAUUUAUUGUAGGAAAAAAUCUAGGUCUGAAGCCCAAAUCAGAAUUUGCCCUUUCUGAGCCUAACUUUUCAAUUCUGUAAUGCUGGGUAAAAAUAAUUAUUGACUUGAAAGAUUUCGAGAAAUGUAUGGACUGUCACAUAACACAGUGAUGAGUGUGUCUGCAGAAAGCCAAAACGGGAAAGCUGGGAAAACACUGUCCCGGAGACGCUCCCCACCACGCCCCCCGGGAGCCUUGCUCUGUUGCCCAGAGCAAGACUCUGGGCUGGAGUGUGGUGGUGUGAUCUUGGCUCACUGCAACCUCCGCCUCCCAGGUUCCAGUGAUUCUCCUGCCUCAGCCUCCCGAGACGCUGGGAUUACAGGCUCACGCC